UAGUAAAAAGUGAAAACGUUCGAAGAGCUGAAGAAAAUGAUGGGACAUUGGAUGAUGAAAUAAAUGAGUUUAAGGGAUUGGUGCAAGAUACUUGCCAAGGACUCUAGAUCUUCCUACUCAAGGACAUGUAAACAAAUUAGGACCUCUCGGAUGUGCGUACUACUCGAGAGAACAUUAGAGUUUUAUAUAAUUAACUGAGGAGACGAGCUACAAGUUUUGGAGUACAUAGUUGUUAGUUCAUGAUAUAGGAGCCAUCAUUAGAUGUAUUCAUACUUAGUGAAUGAUUUUUAUUUAUGUUUUGAU